rnacentral:rRNA from 1 species
GACGAACGCUGGCGGCGUGCUUAACACAUGCAAGUCGAACGGAAAGGCCCUGCUUUUGUGGGGUGCUCGAGUGGCGAACGGGUGAGUAACACGUGAGUAACCUGCCCUUGACUUUGGGAUAACUUCAGGAAACUGGGGCUAAUACCGGAUAGGAGCUCCUGCUGCAUGGUGGGGGUUGGAAAGUUUCGGCGGUUGGGGAUGGACUCGCGGCUUAUCAGCUUGUUGGUGGGGUAGUGGCUUACCAAGGCUUUGACGGGUAGCCGGCCUGAGAGGGUGACCGGCCACAUUGGGACUGAGAUACGGCCCAGACUCCUACGGGAGGCAGCAGUGGGGAAUAUUGCACAAUGGGCGGAAGCCUGAUGCAGCAACGCCGCGUGCGGGAUGACGGCCUUCGGGUUGUAAACCGCUUUCGCCUGUGACGAAGCGUGAGUGACGGUAAUGGGUAAAGAAGCACCGGCUAACUACGUGCCAGCAGCCGCGGUGAUACGUAGGGUGCGAGCGUUGUCCGGAUUUAUUGGGCGUAAAGGGCUCGUAGGUGGUUGAUCGCGUCGGAAGUGUAAUCUUGGGGCUUAACCCUGAGCGUGCUUUCGAUACGGGUUGACUUGAGGAAGGUAGGGGAGAAUGGAAUUCCUGGUGGAGCGGUGGAAUGCGCAGAUAUCAGGAGGAACACCAGUGGCGAAGGCGGUUCUCUGGGCCUUUCCUGACGCUGAGGAGCGAAAGCGUGGGGAGCGAACAGGCUUAGAUACCCUGGUAGUCCACGCUGUAAACGGUGGGUACUAGGUGUGGGGUCCAUUCCACGGGUUCCGUGCCGUAGCUAACGCUUUAAGUACCCCGCCUGGGGAGUACGGCCGCAAGGCUAAAACUCAAAGGAAUUGACGGGGCCCCGCACAAGCGGCGGAGCAUGCGGAUUAAUUCGAUGCAACGCGUAGAACCUUACCUGGGUUUGACAUGGAUCGGGAGUGCUCAGAGAUGGGUGUGCCUCUUUUGGGGUCGGUUCACAGGUGGUGCAUGGCUGUCCUCAGCUCGUGUCGUGAGAUGUUGGGUUAAGUCCCGCAACGAGCGCAACCCUUGUUCACUGUUGCCAGCACGUUAUGGUGGGGACUCAGUGGAGACCGCCGGGGUCAACUCGGAGGAAGGUGGGGAUGACGUCAAGUCAUCAUGCCCCUUAUGUCCAGGGCUUCACGCAUGCUACAAUGGCUGGUACAGAGAGUGGCGAGCCUGUGAGGGUGAGCGAAUCUCGGAAAGCCGGUCUCAGUUCGGAUUGGGGUCUGCAACUCGACCUCAUGAAGUCGGAGUCGCUAGUAAUCGCAGAUCAGCAACGCUGCGGUGAAUACGUUCCCGGG